CCUACGGGUGGCAGCAGUGGGGAAUAUUGGGCAAUGGAGGCAACUCUGACCCAGCAACGCCGCGUGAGCGAUGACGGUCUUCGGAUUGUAAAGCUCUUUAAGCGGGGACGAAGAAAGUGACUGUACCCGCAGAAUAAGCCUCGGCUAACUACGUGCCAGCAGCCGCGGUAAUACGUAGGACGCAAGCGUUAUCCGGAAUGACUGGGCGUAAAGGGUUCGUAGGUGGUUUGGCAAGUUGGUAGCGUAAUCCCGGGGCUCAACCUCGGUGCUACUGCCAAAACUGUUGAACUUGAGUGUAGGAAGGGUAAAUGGAAUUCCCGGUGUAGCGGUGGAAUGCGUAGAUAUCGGGAAGAACACCAGCGGCGAAGGCGAUUUACUGGACUGUAACUGACGCUGAGGCACGAAAGCGUGGGGAGCAAACAGGAUUAGAUACCCGGGUAGUC
rnacentral:rRNA from 1 species